rnacentral:rRNA from 1 species
UACGUAGGGGGCGAGCGUUAUCCGGAAUUACUGGGUGUAAAGGGAGCGUAGACGGCGAAGUAAGCCUGAAGUGGAAGCCCGCGGCCCAACCGCGGAACUGCUUUGGGAACUGCUUAGCUGGAGUAUGGGAGGGGUAAGCGGAAUUCCUGGUGUGGCGGUGAAAUGCGUAGAUAUCAGGAGGAACACCGGUGGCGAAGGCGGCUUACUGGACCAUGACUGACGUUGAGGCUCGAAAGCGUGGGGAGCGAACAGG